rnacentral:rRNA from 1 species
UACGGAGGAUGCAAGCGUUAUCCGGAUUUAUUGGGUUUAAAGGGUGCGUAGGCGGAUAUGUAAGUCAGCGGUGAAACUCACAGGCUCAACCUGUGCCGUGCCGUUGAAACUGUGUAUCUGGAAUGCGGAUGCCGUGGGAGGAAUGUGUAGUGUAGCGGUGAAAUGCAUAGAUAUUACACAGAACACCGAUUGCGAAGGCAUCUCACAAAGCCGUUAUUGACGCUGAGGCACGAAAGUGUGGGGAUCAAACA